rnacentral:misc_RNA from 1 species
CGCCCCUGCCACAAAAGAACCGCCGGUUGAAAUCCGGCCGUUGGUUGCAAUCCGGCUUUGCUAUCGGGGAGUUGCUAACGAAGUGCGGACACGGGCAGGCGGCUUGCCGAGGCGGUUAAACCGGCGUUCGGAGGAUCGCUAAAAUCCGGCCGAUUCCAGUAGGAAUCCGCAUUGGGGCGGGCUAUCGCCUUGAUUCCGUUAGCCUGCGCCGAUACGGUCCGCGCGCAAAUCAUCCCUUCCAACGCUUGAAGAUUUCCGAUGGAUUCUCUGCCUCCGCACAG